UUUGUGGAGAUCGGCGUUUUACUGGCCGUUUUAUUUUAUUGAUCAGGUGUUGGGUUUACAUUACCUACCUACUAACAAAGCUAACUUUUUACCUGGUAGAGGGAAUAAAUCGGCUUUUGGUAUAUUGAUUUAAUAUUUAGGGUGUUGGCUAUUAGAAUGGAGUUUAGGGUGACAUUAAAUUAACUAAUAUUAACUUGGUGAUUGUUUUCAUGUAUUGGGGACAUUUUUAUUGCAUGUACUAUAUUGUAUUUUUUCAUUUUAUUGGUAUAUUAUGUAUUGUAUUGAUGAACUAUGUCAAAACUUGGAAGGAACCACAUAUCAAUUUAAAAUAAUGUUAUUAAAUAUGUUUUUUCCAGAUGUCCAAUAACGAUAUUGCUUUGUCUAGUCCUGUAUGUGAUGCAUACUAUAGUAUAAAUGGGCGCACUCGAUUAUUGGUGAAGAUUCUCCAACAGAUUCCCAAUUAGUGAAAUAUGUUUUUAAGGAUGUUAAAAAGAAAUUAGGCUCACAAAUCUGGAAGGAAGAGCCGAUGAGUUAUUACAGGAUGCGUUUAAUAAGUUAUUUUGUGCAUAUAAUCGUUUUAUACAACGUACCAUGUGUGCGUGUAUAUUGGGAUAUCUAGGUUUUAU
rnacentral:lncRNA from 1 species